AGUCGAGCGGUAGCACAGGAGAGCUUGCUCUCUGGGUGACGAGCGGCGGACGGGUGAGUAAUGUCUGGGAAACUGCCUGAUGGAGGGGGAUAACUACUGGAAACGGUAGCUAAUACCGCAUAACGUCGCAAGACUAAAGAGGGGGACCUUCGGGCCUCUUGCCAUCAGAUGUGCCCAGAUGGGAUUAGCUAGUAGGUGGGGUAAUGGCUCACCUAGGCGACGAUCCCUAGCUGGUCUGAGAGGAUGACCAGCCACACUGGAACUGAGACACGGUCCAGACUCCUACGGGAGGCAGCAGUGGGGAAUAUUGCACAAUGGGCGCAAGCCUGAUGCAGCCAUGCCGCGUGUGUGAAGGAGGCCUUCGGGUUGUAAAGCACUUUCAGCGAGGAGGAAGGUGGUGAGCUUAAUACGUUCAUCAAUUGACGUUACUCGCAGAAGAAGCACCGGCUAACUCCGUGCCAGCAGCCGCGGUAAUACAGAGGGUGCAAGCGUUAAUCGGAAUUACUGGGCGUAAAGCGCACGCAGGCGGUUUGUUAAGUCAGAUGUGAAAUCCCCGGGCUCAACCUGGGAACUGCAUUUGAAACUGGCAAGCUAGAGUCUCGUAGAGGGGGGUAGAAUUCCAGGUGUAGCGGUGAAAUGCGUAGAGAUCUGGAGGAAUACCGGUGGCGAAGGCGGCCCCCUGGACGAAGACUGACGCUCACGUGCGAAAGCGUGGGGAGCAAACACGAUUAGAUACCCUGGUAGUCCACGCUGUAAACGAUGUCGAUUUGGAGGUUGUGCCCUUGAGGCGUGGCUUCCGGAGCUAACGCGUUAAAUCGACCGCCUGGGG
rnacentral:rRNA from 1 species